rnacentral:rRNA from 1 species
AUCUAUAGCCAAACCACCCUGAAUGUGCCUUAUCUCCUCUGCUCUCAGAAGCUAAGCAGAGUCAGGCUUUGGUUACCACUUGGAUGGGAAGAUUUCAUGAUCCCUAGGUU